rnacentral:tRNA from 1 species
UAGGAUUUAGGUUAAGAAAACCUGUUGCCUUCAAAGCAAUUAAUAAGUUAUAGUACUUAAUCCUAA